rnacentral:rRNA from 1 species
CAAUAGCGUAUAUUAAAGUUGUUGCAGUUAAAAAGCUCGUAGUUGGAUUUCUGGGAGGGUGCCAAUGUCCGCCAACGUGCGUGUGCAGCGGCGCCCUUCCAUCCUUCUGUUAACGCCUCUUGGCAUUCAUUUGCUGGUAGCGGGCUCAGAUAUUUUACCUUGAGAAAAUUAGAGUGUUUCAGGCAGGCUUGGCCGGAAUACAUUAGCAUGGAAUAAUGGAAUAGGACUAUGGUCUCUUUGUUGGUUUGAGGGACUGCAGUAAUGAUUAAUAGGGAUAGUUGGGGGCAUUAGUAUUUAAUUGUCAGAGGUGGAAUUCUCAGAUUUGUUAAAGACUAACUUAUGCGAAAGCAUUUGCCAAGGAUGUUUUCAUUAAUCAAGAACGAAAGUUAGGGGAUCAAAGACGAUCAGAUACCAU